AGUCGAACGAGCGAGAGAGAGCUUGCUUUCUCGAGCGAGUGGCGAACGGGUGAGUAACGCGUGAGGAACCUGCCUCAAAGAGGGGGACAACAGUUGGAAACGACUGCUAAUACCGCAUAAGCCCACGGGUCGGCAUCGACCAGAGGGAAAAGGAGUGAUCCGCUUUGAGAUGGCCUCGCGUCCGAUUAGCUAGUUGGUGAGGUAACGGCCCACCAAGGCGACGAUCGGUAGCCGGACUGAGAGGUUGAACGGCCACAUUGGGACUGAGACACGGCCCAGACUCCUACGGGAGGCAGCAGUGGGGAAUAUUGCACAAUGGGGGAAACCCUGAUGCAGCGACGCCGCGUGGAGGAAGAAGGUCUUCGGAUUGUAAACUCCUGUUGUUGGGGAAGAUAAUGACGGUACCCAACAAGGAAGUGACGGCUAACUACGUGCCAGCAGCCGCGGUAAAACGUAGGUCACAAGCGUUGUCCGGAAUUACUGGGUGUAAAGGGAGCGCAGGCGGGAAGACAAGUUGGAAGUGAAAUCCAUGGGCUCAACCCAUGAACUGCUUUCAAAACUGUUUUUCUUGAGUAGUGCAGAGGUAGGCGGAAUUCCCGGUGUAGCGGUGGAAUGCGUAGAUAUCGGGAGGAACACCAGUGGCGAAGGCGGCCUACUGGGCACCAACUGACGCUGAGGCUCGAAAGUGUGGGUAGCAAACAGGAUUAGAUACCCUGGUAGUCCACACCGUAAACGAUGAUUACUAGGUGUUGGAGGAUUGACCCCUUCAGUGCCGCAGUUAACACAAUAAGUAAUCCACCUGGGGAGUACGACCGCA
rnacentral:rRNA from 1 species